AGUGAACGCUGGCGGUAGGCCUAACACAUGCAAGUCGAACGGCAGCACAGUAAGAGCUUGCUCUUACGGGUGGCGAGUGGCGGACGGGUGAGGAAUACAUCGGAAUCUACUUUUUCGUGGGGGAUAACGUAGGGAAACUUACGCUAAUACCGCAUACGACCUACGGGUGAAAGCAGGGGAUCUUCGGACCUUGCGCGAUUGAAUGAGCCGAUGUCGGAUUAGCUAGUUGGCGGGGUAAAGGCCCACCAAGGCGACGAUCCGUAGCUGGUCUGAGAGGAUGAUCGGCCACACUGGAACUGAGACACGGUCCAGACUCCUACGGGAGGCAGAAGUGGGGAAUAUUGGACAAUGGGCGCAAGCCUGAUCCAGCCAUACCGCGUGGGUGAAGAAGGCCUUCGGGUUGUAAAGCCCUUUUGUUGGGAAAGAAAAGCAGCAGGUUAAUACCCCGCUGUUCUGACGGUACCCAAAGAAUAAGCACCGGCUAACUUCGUG
rnacentral:rRNA from 1 species